rnacentral:rRNA from 1 species
UGAGUAACGCGUGGGAACGUACCAUUUGCUACGGAAUAACUCAGGGAAACUUGUGCUAAUACCGUAUGUGCCCGAAAGGGGAAAGAUUUAUCGGCAAAUGAUCGGCCCGCGUUGGAUUAGCUAGUUGGUGGGGUAAAGGCCUACCAAGGCGACGAUCCAUAGCUGGUCUGAGAGGAUGAUCAGCCACACUGGGACUGAGACACGGCCCAGACUCCUACGGGAGGCAGCAGUGGGGAAUAUUGGACAAUGGGCGCAAGCCUGAUCCAGCCAUGCCGCGUGAGUGAUGAAGGCCCUAGGGUUGUAAAGCUCUUUCACCGGUGAAGAUAAUGACGGUAACCGGAGAAGAAGCCCCGGCUAACUUCGUGCCAGCAGCCGCGGUAAUACGAAGGGGGCUAGCGUUGUUCGGAUUUACUGGGCGUAAAGCGCACGUAGGCGGG